AUUGAACGCUGGCGGCAUGCCUUACACAUGCAAGUCGAACGGCAGCACGGGAGCAAUCCUGGUGGCGAGUGGCGAACGGGUGAGUAAUAUAUCGGAACGUGCCCAGUCGUGGGGGAUAACGCAGCGAAAGCUGUGCUAAUACCGCAUACGAUCUACGGAUGAAAGCGGGGGAUCGCAAGACCUCGCGCGAUUGGAGCGGCCGAUAUCAGAUUAGCUAGUUGGUGGGGUAAAAGCCCACCAAGGCGACGAUCUGUAGUUGGUCUGAGAGGACGACAAGCCACACUGGAACUGAGACGCGGUCCAGACUCCUACGGGAGGCAGCAGUGGGGAAUUUUGGACAAUGGGCGCAAGCCUGAUCCAGCAAUGCCGCGUGCAGGAUGAAGGCCUUCGGGUUGUAAACUGCUUUUGUACGGAACGAAACGGCUCUUUCUAAUAAAGAGGGCUAAUGACGGUACCGUAAGAAUAAGCACCGGCUAACUACGUGCCAGCAGCCGCCGUAA
rnacentral:rRNA from 1 species